UACGGAGGGUGCAAGCGUUAAUCGGAAUUACUGGGCGUAAAGGGCGCGUAGGCGGAUACUUAAGUCGGAUGUGAAAGCCCCGGGCUUAACCUGGGAAUUGCAUUUGAGACUGGGUGACUAGAAUGUGGUAGAGGGUGGCGGAAUUUCUGGUGUAGCGGUGAAAUGCGUAGAUAUGAGAAGGAAUACCGAUGGCGAAGGCAGCCCCCUGGGCAAACACUGACGCUCAGGCGCGAAAGCGUGGGGAGCAAACAGG
rnacentral:rRNA from 1 species